UGUGUGUGUGUGUGUGUGUGUGUGUGUGUGUGUGUGUGUGUGUUUGAGUGCGUUUGACCAGGCCAGACACAAACCGCUGUGCAAAAAAGGGGGACAAAACGACGGACCGACCGACCGACCGAACGAUGGACAACAAGCGGGGGCCCCUCAAACAAACUAUUCAAAAAAACAGGGAACGGACACACCAACCAACACACACACACACAGACGAGCAUGCAGGUUCGCGGGUGCGACUCGCCGUCGCUUGCUGCGGUGCAGUUUGCGUUUCCCGGGGUAAAAGUCGCAACCGCACCAUCGCACGGGCAAUACACACAGCAGGCGCUGCGCUCGUCGUCUUUUGCGGGCGCUCGUCGUCAUCGUCGUCGUCGUCGUGGUCGUGUGUCAUCGCCAAAAGCCGUAGUUCGUUCGCCGUAGUCGCGCGUCCCGUGGUCGUCGUCGCGGUCGUCGUCGUGCGUGCGUGCGUGUGCGGGUCACAGCGAGAGAAGAAAACGUCAUCGUCGGCGCGAAUCUGAGCCCAGCGCGUUAGCGGCGCGCGCGUUCACGACCGUUCCUUUUUUUUUUUGUUAGUUCUAUCGUGGUUCACUGUGUUUUUCUUUUUGUACCCUUUAACCUUCCCAUCCCUCUUGCUCGCACUACCGUUGGACCACAUCACAUCUUCACACCGAGCCGAGGGGGUUUUUGCAUUUGUUUUCGUUGCGUUGCAUUCUGCACAUUGCCAUUUUUGGUGGAUGGUGUAGGAAGAACACACCCGCGGGAGGACACAUCCCCCCCCCCCUUUUCGUGACACGACUCAAAGGGAAUCGCGCGCCCGUCCCUUUCCGACAAUUCCAUCCAUUGACAUUCCUUCUCCGGUGUUGUGCGUGCGUGUCUGUGUGUUCUCAUUAGUGCUCCGGGAGGGAAUUCUUGCUCUGGUUUGCUCUAAAAAAACCCGUGUAACUCUUGGUGCGUUAGAGUUGUGUUUUUUUUUGCGGUUUGUGUGUGUGAUGUGUAUAGCCUUACCUCGAAAGAAGACACGAAGGAUCUUCUUUUUUUGCCGCGCCCGGGGGACCUUUGACAAUCCCAUUCGCGAGCUAUUUUUCACUUCAAUUCUCUCCCCCUUUCGCGCGUACGGAUUCCAUCCCCCCGGAGGAUCGUUCUGGUACUGUCAAACUGUCAUCAAAGCCCCAGUAAGAGCUGUCAAAGCGCGCCAGGGGGAAGAAGCAGGGCCUACUACUACUGCGUGUGAUCGCUUUUCGAGGUGACGAGUGACAGAUUACACUCAAUCACAUCCACUGCAAGAAUCUGCUGCCUUGGCUGCUUGGGCACAGCAAAUGAGCCUUUUACCCCUUUCUGGAUGGUUGCUGCUGGUUGCUAAAUUUAGUGGAAUUUAAGCAAGCAAACACUUCUGGUUCCCCUGUUUUUCUUUGAUUGUGUGUAGUGUGUGUGUCUCUCUCUCUCUCGGUACGUUAGAUUCCAGCCAUGGUUUUCGGCCAAUUUUAGCCGUUGUGCCGUUUUUGUUUCUACUUGCCCCGAAAAUAGCUCUUGGACGGUUUGGUUCUUUUUUCUUAAAUUAAAGCGUUUUGUUAAAUAGUUCCAACACACAUGGCAAAUUACAAUCUUCCCCUCCCUCUGUCUCUAUGGAUGUCCUCCUUCUCCUCCCACCACCCCCCCAUUUUCCAAUGUCCAAUGUUCGGUGUCCUGUUCGGAAGGAAUUACCGGGAAUUUCUGGAACGCGCCAGUAUCGUCCCUUGCCGUCGGGCCGUCGUCAUGUUUUUUUUAUGUUCUCUUCCUGCUCCAAGUGCUGCUGUCUGUGUGUGUAUGUGUGUGUGAGUGUGUUUGUGUGCAAAUCGCAAGUGAGACAUACAAGGGAAUGUAUUUUAUUUUCAUUUUUUGUUUUUUGUUUUUUUUUCGGCUUCCUUGGUGUUCGGUGUUUGGAGUAGCAUAAGGAGCAUUAAAAAUAUCGAAUUUCGCCGAGUAUUUUUUUCCCCAUUCCUUCUAAAACGGUUAGUUUCCUUAGUGACAGUUGCUGCUCCACAAAACAGGCCGUGCCAAAAAUGCGACCAAGCGACACAAAUAUCGGCAAGCGUUUUUUUUUUGUUUGGUUCGUUUUGAGUGGGUUUUGCUGAAGUUUGUUUAAGUUUGCUCCAUUAUUUUAUAAAAAAUAUUUAAAAACAUAAGCUUUGCAAACAUUCACCAAUUAUGUGCAUUUAAAAAAAACUAAUCGUUUGAUGUGUGUGUGUGCGUGUGUGUGUGUGAAAAACUGUUCAUCAAAAUGGCAAAGAAAGAUGGUGCCAAACUCCCACCGUGUUUUGGCUUUGGCAAAUUAAGCUCGACGCGUAUGCCGUCGGAAGGAGUAGAGACAAAGGUAAAUACCAAAACUCUCAACAACAGAAUAAGUAGAGGUAAAGUAAAUUAAAAACCAGAUGCAACCAAAUUGAUACAAUCGACUAACUUCUUGCGCACUUCUUUUGAACCCGCAAAUGAAUGGAUUGAAAUCAUUUUCCUUUACUGUACUGCAUGGUGGGAAGCAUCCAGCUCAAGACAACAACUGCUCAAUGCCACCACAAAACGACUUUGUUCUACCUUCUGCCAGCAGCAGUAGUAGUAGUAGUAGCAGCAGCAGUGCGCAAGUGUACAUUCCGGAAGGGGUAGAAAAAGGGCGCGCGGUGCACUUGCAACUUCCUCGCAAGACACAACCGCCACCGAGGUAGAAGUCGAAAACGAAUCGUUAAUCUCGUCCUCCACCCAACACCAACACCACACUCCGCACAGGGGGGGGGGCACGCGGAAUACCUCACCUUCUUCUACCAGCCGAAAAACCAACGCUCGCUGCUGGCGGACGGUUACGAAUUCCUGACCUAUGGUAAUUUUUCCCGUCAGCUUCAUUGAGCGCUGGAAAAGCGGUGAAGGUGGAGGGGGGGGGGUGGUUUUCUUGCCCACUCUAGCCCACACAAAACCAUGCUCUCAUGUAUGUGUGUAGGUGGGUGGGUGGUUGCAUCCCGUCAUAUCGUUGCGUCUGCUGCGAAAAAAACCCGGUGGUUUGAGAACGGUUUACCACCGUCCCCGGGAAAAACGAAUCGUGCGCUUCGGUGUCUCACUCUCCUUACUGUCGUGUCGGACGUUCCGUAUAUUUAUGUGACGCUCCGGGAGGGGUGGCGAAGAUAAGGGAGAAGUAGCCUGGGGGGGGGUUGUUUUGUGUAGGAAGAAGACUAGCUUACUAGUCACAUGUGCAGUUGUAGAAACAGACACACACACACACGCGAAAUGCAACGUUUCGGUGGAGCAUUAACAGCGGGACAGAGUGGACGAGUUAUUUCCGCCCUUGGUCAGAGUGUAUUAUUUACGGCUUCUCUCUCUCUCUCUCUCUCUCUCUCUCUCUCUCUCUCUCUCUCUCUCUCUCUCUCUUUCUCUCUGCGACUAUCUCAAGUGUUUGUGUGUGCUGGAUGCGUUGCGUGUGGGAAAAUUGGUUUACGGUAUUGCAGUGCGCAUACGGGAAAUGGAUUCAGCCUUGCGGUCGUAAAUAAACUCUCGAAAAAAGGAGGUUAAUGUAGUUAAAAUUAUUUCACUGAUUUACUGUACAAGCUCAUCAACAUUUUGACGUUGCUUAGUUGCUGAAUGGUAAAUAUGCAUGCGAUUGACAUGCAGUAAUAAAGGUCGAAGCAAUGUGGUUCUUAUAAACAACAGUCCUCAAAACGGAUUCCGCACGACCCGUUCUGUUCGCGUUUUAUGCACUUGGUUUGCGUUCCUUCAUUCCUGUAUCAUCUGGAAAUGGGAUGAUGCUGCCGUUGCUCGCGCCAGUCUCGUAUGGCUGUAGACAUCGGGCGAGGUGGUGGUUUUAUCGUGCAUUCCUCCGAAGGAAUAAUGACAAAAACCAGUUCCACGCCAGGGCGAACCGAGCAACUCUGGCUGACCCAAACCCGAAACCCGGCAGACGGCAAUGAUGAUGAUGAUGAUGAUGCUGACGGUGCGGCCACACUAUGUGCGUAUUGCCGUGUAGUACCGUACGUGUGCACACACACAUACACACACACAUUCUCUCCGUUCCCCAGACGGGCUGAUUCUUUUGUGCCGGAGGUCUUUGCAUUUUGCCUUUGUCCACCACUUUGAUGAUAUGCAUGCGGUGCUGCUGCUGCUGCUGCUGCAUCCAACCGUUUGCAUUCCAACGUGGGCCGAUGCUCGCUUCCGCCGAAAAGGCAGUGCACGGCAGUGCAGGAGCAGCACACACACACGUUUGCUUCCCCGCCCGACAGGAGAACCAGGUCCACCAGACACACCCUGGACGCACCGAAACCGGACCGAUCCGGUGCGCAGAUUUAUGCAAAACCGGAUCAGACACAAUUGGUAACUGACAGAGCAAAAAAAAAAAGCGGAGAAGAAGAAGAGAAAACUGGGCGGAAAAUCUAAUCCUCUCUCUCGCAAAAAAAACGAAACACGGAUGCAAACUCGCGCAUACACACGUGCAAUUGAAUCAAAUCUCUAACCUUUGAAUAGAGAGUAGUAGAAGGAUAAAACGCGGAGGUUUGAGGGUUUUUUUUCCUUUCCCCAAAUCAAACAGCAGCAGCAGUAGAGAAAUGGCUGUGAGGCAAGCGGAGAGAGCAUAGAGCACAAGGGUUGAAAUGCAAAAAUCUAAACACACGCAUGUAGUUAGUGCAAUUGUUUCCGGUAAGGUUGCUCUUUUUCCGCAUGUGCUGCGUAUUGAGACGCAUUUUUUUGUGUGCGUGCGUGGAAGAUACACCAACCGUUUGAAAUUAAAUGCAAUAGUUUACUUUUGCCGAAGUAUAGACCAACGAAAACAAAGCGAAAAAUUGAUUAAACGCUCCCGGAGGAAACGUUGUGGUAUGUUCUUAUUUUCAAUGUAUUUUUUUUAAAUAAAAUUGAAUCCACGGCGUGUUUGUUUAACAAUACAGGCUUGUGUAUGCAAUUGCCUUCAAGGUUGGCGGUUGGUUUCAUUUCCUGAUAUCAAUUUUGAUUGCCAAAAAGGAGAUCCUACCAAACGGUUGUUAAUAUCCGGUUCAGUAAAUUGUACGAAAAAAGAUCAUGUUAAACUUCAAAAUUUGUUCUUUUUUGUAAAAUAAUUAAAAUGAUGUUUGCUGAUGGUUUUAAUUUUUUGGCAAGAUUGCAUUGUGAAGACUUGCAUUGUGAUUGAAACUUUGAUUGUUGUCUUUUAAAACCCCUUUUUUAAAAGAGGUCCUAAUACUCUUUUAAAGGCAGUUAACAGGGUUUCCUACGGUAUUUAGACAAUAUUAUGAUCUUCUCUGUAAAUACAAUCUCAAUGAAUCAUGGGAGCGAUCAAACAACUUUGGACAACAGUCAAUACAUCUUGAUAUAGAACCACAAACAUGUGGAGAGAAACUGAUAUAGUUUGCGAUGAACCAAACUAAUCUCAAGCUUGUGACUUCUUCAUCGUCGUUCCAAUAAGUUAACAACACGCCAAGAGUCCCACCUUCCCAGCAUGUGUGUCCCAUCCGUACUCCUGCCCACAGGGGCAAAUGCAUUCGACUCCAUGUUUAUCAACCAACAAAAUGCUUGCCUUUUCGAAAAAUCAACAACCAUCAUUCGUUGCAACCAUGCGUGCGUGUACGUAGGCCCUACACUCUCCCCCCCCCCCCCCCCCUGUACACGGUGUGCUGUGCGUGUCGGUCCAUUGAGAAUUUUCAAUCAACCCUGCCUGCUACACCGCCGCACACAAUCUGCAGCACAUAGCACACACCGUUUGUAUCAAUUUUACGGUAGCUUUGAUGGUCUGGCAAAACACUAAACGAUCGCUUGUGUGUUUCCUCCCUUUUUUUGUGUGUGUGUUGUGCUCCCUCAACCCCAACCCUCCAAUACGCACAAAGCGGCCGGCCUCAUGGUGCUGCUGCGGCGGCAUACACGGCCUAUAAGUCACACAUUCCUUCCCUUCCCGCCCCAUCUUCCAUCCAUCCGGUGCGAAGCUCUCCGUUUCAAAAAGGUGGUAGUAGUAGGCAGUGGGAAAUGCAUUCUUCUGCAAGUGCACAGUCAAAAUAAACAACAGAGUUGGGGAGCGAAGGUAGCGCGCGGUAGCAGAACUUCCGAGUCAACAGUUCAUGCAUCCAUCCGUUCAAGCCUCCCGAUCAGACGCAUCAGUGAAAUUGCACACACACACACACACACACAGUGUGCAGUGUCAGUUUCUUCUCAGCACAGUAGGAAACGAAUGGCCAGAAAUUAUGCGUUUGUUCGAUUAUUUUGCCUACCCACUGGGGGGUUUACUUCCAAGGAACAACCCACACUGUGCAAAGGGUGCAAACCCUUUGUGAAAACGGAACGAUGCGUGUCAUCUUCGUGCCUGGUAGUGUGGUGUGUACACGUACCUCACUGCAGUAUUAUCCCUUGCCACGCAGCGGCAGGACAAAGGGCAAAGCAGCAGUGCGUUAUCGCAUGUCAACAUUUAAUGAGAUGUACAUUGCGUACAUUUUGCACAUCAAUAAACAGUGUGGCUCCCUCUCUGGUUGUGAUUUUCCACUCGCUUGUUUCCUGUCCUUUUCCUGUGUAGGCCUGUCAGAAUUGCUACGACAGGACAUUCAGGACAGAAAGUGUAUGUGUGUGUAUGUCUGUGGCAUAGAUUAUUAUUCUCGACCUAUUUCCUGCUAUCCCCUGUUUUCUUGGUUGGUGUGCCCGCGAAGAGCUUCAACCUGGGGCUAAUUGGAUUUAAGGGAAUAUAAUGGAGAGAACGUUUUACUUCUUACCGCACACCGUUCGUUCGGUAAAAGGGAUUGACCUUUUUUGAUCGUUCCGUUGCGGCUAGCAGUGUGUGGGAGAAGGAAAAGGGCAGAUGAAGCAGUAGUCAAUAAAAUGUCAAAUGUCGCAAGGAAAACAGUUGAAAUGGUGGAAAAA